CAGUCGAGCGAAGCUUUCGGGCUUAGCGGCGGACGGGUGAGUAACGCGUGGGAACGUGCCCUUUGGUACGGAAUAGUCCUGGGAAACUGGGUUUAAUACCGUAUAUUCUCUACGGAGGAAAGAUUUAUCGCCAAAGGAUCGGCCCGCGUUGGAUUAGGUAGUUGGUGGGGUAAUGGCCUACCAAGCCGACGAUCCAUAGCUGGUUUGAGAGGAUGAUCAGCCACACUGGGACUGAGACACGGCCCAGACUCCUACGGGAGGCAGCAGUGGGGAAUCUUAGACAAUGGGGGCAACCCUGAUCUAGCCAUGCCGCGUGAUCGAUGAAGGCCUUAGGGUUGUAAAGAUCUUUCGCUGGGGAAGAUAAUGACGGUACCCAGUAAAGAAGCCCCGGCUAACUCCGUGCCAGCAGCCGCGGUAAUACGGAGGGGGCUAGCGUUGUUCGGAAUUACUGGGCGUAAAGCGCGCGUAGGCGGAUUGGAAAGUUGGGGGUGAAAUCCCGGGGCUCAACCCCGGAACUGCCUCCAAAACUAUCAGUCUGGAGUUCGAGAGAGGUGAGUGGAAUUGCGAGUGUAGAGGUGAAAUUCGUAGAUAUUCGCAGGAACACCAGUGGCGAAGGCGGCUCACUGGCUCGAUACUGACGCUGAGGUGCGAAAGUGUGGGGAGCAAACAG
rnacentral:rRNA from 1 species